rnacentral:lncRNA from 1 species
GGUGGAUGUGUUGAUUUUGUGGUGACUAUUACUAGGAACCUUGUGUUAUAUUACCGGGUUUAGUAUUUGUUGUAUAUUGGCCGAUAGCAUUUGUGUAACCCACAAUGUUAGGCAUAUUGGGUUGAGUUAGUGUUCCUUCAGACCCCGUACCCGGCGGGUUCAAGGAAACCCUUUAUUCGCUGGAUCGGGAAGACUCAGAUAGACGGGGUCAUGACCUAUGGCUGAGUUAUUACACGACGGUGUAAUGUGGCAGUGACCCGAAGGACUGUGGGCUGUCGCGCGGUGACCCGAAGGGCAGUGGGCCACGGUCGGUUGAAAGUUCCUUGUUCUGGCCUUUUUGGUAGAGAGAUAGGAUAUUGCCGAUAGUGAAGGAGGAACAUAACGUCACCAGGGCCCGAGUUUGUUAUAUAUAUUAUAUAGUGUUUGGGUUGUUUAAACCCUGGUUUAAAUCGAGUUUGAGAUUGAUGAUGAGCUAGUAAUUAGCAUAAUGCUAGUUAUCUUGCUAAUGCUAAUUAUCUUGCUAUCGUUUACCGCUGCGUAUUUCAGAUAUUGCUUAUUGUUAUUGAAUUGUGUUGUUAGGUGAACCUCUCGCUUUAGAUUGUUUGGGGUGGGAUAGCGAGGGGUUGUAUUUGCUAGUUGGGGAUUGUAACUCGCUGAGUAAUGCUAGAUUACUCACUCCUCACUUGUUGUUGU